UAAGGCAUAAUUAAAUUAUAAUACAAGACUUUUAAUCUAACAUUGUAGACUCUCUCUACUACCUUAA
rnacentral:tRNA from 1 species